rnacentral:rRNA from 1 species
UGGGGAAUAUUGCACAAUGGCCGGAAUUCUGAUGCAGCGACGCCGCGUGGGGGAUGAAGGCUUUCGGGUUGUAAACUCCUUUUGAUGCUGAACAAGGCUCUUUUUAGGGUUGAGGGUAGGUGUUGAAUAAGCGCCGGCUAACUACGUGCCAGCAGCCGCGGUAAUACGUAGGGCGCGGGCGUUGUCCGGAAUUAUUGGGCGUAAAGGGCUCGUAGGCGGUUUGUCGCGUCUGCUGUGAAAGACCGGGGCUUAACUCCGGGGUUGCAGUGGGUACGGGCAGACUAGAGUGCGGUAGGGGUAGCUGGAAUUCCUGGUGUAGCGGUGGAAUGCGCAGAUAUCAGGAGGAACACCGAUGGCGAAGGCAGGUUACUGGGCCGUUACUGACGCUGAGGAGCGAAAGCAUGGGGAGCGAACAGG